rnacentral:rRNA from 1 species
GACGAACGCUGGCGGCGUGCUUAACACAUGCAAGUCGAACGGAGUGGCGAACGGGUGAGUAACACGUGGGUGAUCUGCCUUGCACUCUGGGGUAAGCUUGGGAAACUGGGUCUACUACCGGCUAGUGCACGAUGAGCUCGCGGCCUAUCAGCUUGUUGGUGGGGUAAUGGCCUACCAAGGCGUCGACGGGUAGCCGGCCUGAGAGGGUGUACGGCCACAUUGGGACUGAGAGACGGCCCAGACGCCGACGGGAGGCAGCAGUGGGGAAUAUUGCAAAAUGGGCGGAAGCCGGAUGCAGCGACGCCGCGGGGGGGAUGACGGCUUUCGGGUUGUAAACUCCUGUCGACAGGGACGCGGUACCUGUAUAAGAAGCACCGGCUAACUACGUGCCAGCAGCCGCGGUAUUAC